GGAGCCGGCCGGGUGGUCGCGGGCGCGCGAAAGUUGCGCCUGAGGAAAGUCCGGACUCCACAGGGCAGGGAGCUGGGUAACGCCCAGGCGGGGUGACCCGACGGAAAGUGCCACAGAAAGGGAAACCGCCCACCGCCUCCUCACGGGGGCAGGGGCAAGGGUGAAAAGGUGGGGUAAGAGCCCACCAGCGGUCCUGGUGACAGGGCCGGCUUGGUAAACCCCUCCCGGAGCAAGGCCAAGUAGGAGCCGAUGCCGUGGCCCGCGGCGCUUGAGGCUCGGGUAGGCCGCACGAGGCCGUCGGUAACGGCGGUCCCAGAUGGAUGACCACCGCCCGGGGCUUGGAUCCCGGGUACAGAAUCCGGCUUA
rnacentral:RNase_P_RNA from 1 species